CUUGUAGGCGGUUUGUCGCGUCUGCUGUGAAAAUCCGGGGCUCAACCCCGGACUUGCAGUGGGUACGGGCAGGCUAGAGUGUGGUAGGGGAGACUGGAAUUCCUGGUGUAGCGGUGGAAUGCGCAGAUAUCAGGAGGAACACCGAUGGCGAAGGCAGGUCUCUGGGCCACUACUGACGCUGAGAAGCGAAAGCAUGGGGAGCGAACA
rnacentral:rRNA from 1 species